GGACCACCGCCAGAGCCUCUGGCUACUUCUGCCGUUGCCAGAAAACUCUACCGUUACCAACGCCGGAGUCCGGUCGCCGCUGUCACUUGAGGUGGCUGACGGGCUGCCGCCGAACCGGUUCAAGAGACCGCCGCUGUUCGGUUCAGCCGUUCCUUCUUCGUGUUGAUAUGGUUAUUGCGAAAGUGGUUGGAAGCUGAGGUUUUGGUUGCCG